AUUGAACGCUGGCGGCAGGCUUAACACAUGCAAGUCGAACGAGUGGCGGACGGGUGAGUAAUGCUUGGGCAUCUAGCUUAUGGAGGGGGAUAACUACGGGAAACUGUAGCUAAUACCGCGUACCAUAGGAUGAGCCCAAGUGGGAUUAGGUAGUUGGUGAGGUAACGGCUCACCAAGCCGACGAUCCCUAGCUGGUCUGAGAGGAUGACCAGCCAAACUGGGACUGAGACACGGCCCAGACUCCUACGUGAGGCAGCAGUGGGGAAUAUUGCGCAAUGGGGGCAACCUGACGCAGCCAUGCCGCGUGAGUGAAGAAGGCCUUCGGGUUGUAAAGUUCUUUCGGUAGCGAGGCGUUAACUACAGAAGAAGCACCGGCUAACUCCGUGCCAGCAGCCGCGGUAAUUC
rnacentral:rRNA from 1 species